UACGUGGAGUCCAAGCGUUAUCCGGAUUUACUGGGCGUAAAGCGUCCGUAGGCGUCCCGAUAAGUUUUCAGUGAAAUCCUUCCGCCCAACGGAAGAACUGCUGAAAAAACUAUCGGGAUCGAGUAUGGCAGAGGCAAGGGGAAUUCCCGGUGUAGGGGUAAAAUCCGUUGAUAUCGGGAAGAACACCAGUGGCGAAGGCGCCUUGCUGGGCCAUCACUGACGCUCAGGGACGAAAGCGUGGGUAGCGAACGGG
rnacentral:misc_RNA from 1 species